rnacentral:rRNA from 1 species
CAGCAGCCACGGUAAUACGGAGGAUCCAAGCGUUAUCCGGAAUCAUUGGGUUUAAAGGGUCCGUAGGCGGUCUUGUAAGUCAGUGGUGAAAGCCCAUCGCUCAACGGUGGAACGGCCAUUGAUACUGCAGGACUUGAAUUAUUGGGAAGUAACUAGAAUAUGUAGUGUAGCGGUGAAAUGCUUAGAGAUUACAUGGAAUACCAAUUGCGAAGGCAGGUUACUACCAAUUGAUUGACGCUGAUGGACGAAAGCGUGGGUAGCGAACAGGAUUAGAGACCCCAGUAGUCCCUGUCUCUUAUAC